GGCGCCGGCAUUCAACUGUGGUUUCCACAUUGUGUGUGCACAAUGCGUUUGAUACUUCAUCUGGGUCGUGGUUAAGCCACACCCAGGUAAAGUAAGUACACUUUUGAGCUACAUUGCCUACCAGAUAUUCUGUUGGCUGUGACGGCACUCUCCACUGCUGAGACCCUCUUUCUCUCCGUCGGAGGCAUCGUCCAGUGUCAACUUGACGUAGGGAGGAGGAGCUGACUGGAAGGGACGGUACCGAGCAUGUUAUGCUAAGCUGACUGUGGGAUUGCUUGCUAUUGCUUAAUUGCCUUGCUUGCUGGGUCGCUGGGAUUGCUGUUGGCCGCGUGUUGCUUGCUUGUUGGCUUGCUGCUUCUGCUGUGUUCUGGUGGUGGAUCGCGUUGAUUCUUGUUAUUGCAUGGACUGAGUUUUAAAGGAUUUCUUUGAUGGAUCGUUAUUUUAACGUUUUUUGAAUUACAGGUGCAUCUAUUGUUAAGGCGGCACGGUGGUGUUGUGGUUAGCGCUGUCGCCUCACAGCAAGAAGGUCCUGGGUUCGGGCCGGCGAGGGCCUUUCUGUGUGGAGUUUGCAUGUUGUCCGCGUGGGUUGACCGUAGGUGUGAGUGUGAAUGGUUGUCUGUGUCUAUGUGUCAGCCCUGUGAUGACCUGGCGACUUGUCCAGGGUGUACCCCGCCUUUCGCCCGUAGUCAGCUGGGAUAGGCUCCAGCUUGCCUGCAACUCUGUAGAAGGAUAAAGCGGCUAGAGAUAAUGAGAUGAGAUCUAUUGUUAACUAAUGAUAAAUCAUUGAAACUUAAACUUUGUUUGUCUGCUCACUGCUUGCCACCACACCUGCACAACUGUCUGGUCACGGACACACUAAAACUUGGUGACACAUGUAUAAAAGGCACAAUAUAGAAGGGAUUAUUGUGAUGUAUCUGAUCUACCCCACCAACAGUGACGCCAGGCAUUUCAUUUACCACUAUUCAAAUAACUUGAUCCAAAAUAAAGUUUGCUGUCUAAGGCAGAUGUACUGUCAGGUGAGCUGAGUGUAAUGGAAAAUCAAGCAAGCAGUUUCUUUGUAUUGUAACACAUUUUCUGAUUAAAACUUGAAGGUAAAAAAAAAUCAAAACAAGAGCCUCUCUUGUGUUACAUACCAAACCAGUUAGCUUUAUUGUAAUUUUUUGGGGUUUGACUCAAUUUUGGAAAACAAAAGAAAAUAAGUAGUUUUUAGAGUAAUAAAGAAUACAGAAACAGUGAAGGUCUGUCAAUAUUCAAAUUGCACAUAAGUUAUAAAAGAGAGGAGUGUGUUACAAACGGUUAAUAUUUGGACAAGGACGGUCAUCUGGGAGAAACUGGACGCAUUCCUACUUUAAGCACAUUUCUGAAGAAAUGCAACACUGUAAAAAAUAGAACUUCAUUUUUUUUUCUGCCCACACGUUGAUAUGAGUAAACAGAACUAAGAUGACAAGAAAACACUUAACUCGCAAUAAGUUGUCAUAUCAAGUGAGCUCAACUUGUCUGGAAAAAACGGGGCACGCAACAGGGUUUCCGAGCCACAGGGGCUGAUAACGUCCGAAGCGGCUCGAGGGGCACUAGAGACACAACUCCACGCACGCUUUUGGAAGUGGAUCAAAUUCAGAAGCUCAUCCCUCGCGUCAUCAGGAACGAAGGUUAAUCUUUUACCACUCAAAAAUAAUCGAUAAACUAAUCAACAUUGCACCUGUUUUAUGUGAAGUACAAAACUUAUCUAGCCUAUAUCCUUGUACAGUCCGUUUUGAAAUGACCGGCUAGUUUUACCUCAGUUUAUGAAUGUUAAAAGCCUGCUUUUUGUUGAUGAGGCUUAUUGAUAUAUUGACUAUUGAUGUGUAGGAGGGCAUCUAUGUUCAGUUGUAAUUACACUUUAUUCAUGUUGAUUCAAACAACUGUUAUAUUGCCUGCUGCAAAAGGGUCUGUUGAAGGCUCUAGGUAGCGAAUUGAAAACGUGGGUUGCACUUGUUAGCGUGGAAGGUCUCCCUCCCUCCCUCGACGUUAGCUUGAUUAACGUUGGCCUCAGUCUAAAUUAGAAAAGCAUAAACGAACGGGACUCGUAUUAUGUCUAGGUUCUACUCUUAGAGCAGGAAAAGGUGGCACACAUAAAUGCUUGUUCUAUCACAAUGGAGACCGACUACUUGUUUAUUUCACCGACGUUAGUCAGGACCUUAAUGUCUGGGCAUUUUAGGCAAAUGUGGCGCCAUUGAAAGCUUGUGCGUCCCGUGGUUCGCAGUUUAGUGAGUGUGCUUGCAGAAUAAUAGUGUUACUUUAAUUAUAAUUACAACAAUUUCGGUUCGGUCACCAUACCAAUAUAACAGAAGUAUAGCAAGCUUAUGAUCCAUUUCCUACUUCACAUAAGCCUCAUCAACAAAAAGCAGGCUAUUUUAACAUUCAUGAAAUGAGGCUAGGUGCAAUGUGUGAUGUUUAAGAUGGCAGUGUUUCCUGCUAAUGCUUUCCGACUGCCAAACACUUAAAACGCCAAAACUGUACUGUAAAUUAAAAGUAUUAUAUUUGAAUUGUUUGAAUGGUUUUGCUCCAGGUUCUGUUGAUAGUCAGAUCUGUUUUUAUUCUUCAUUGUUGGGUUUUAACCGCCUUAAUUAAACUAACUAGUUUCCCCAUGUUUUUUCGUGAUGCAAUGCAGAGUGUAAAUUCAUCCACCCGGAUGUCCAGACCCUGCUGAAACAUUACCUCCUGAGACACUGAGGGGGUCAUCAAGGUGACAGCGAUAGCAGAACAUAGGAGGAGAGUGGCCUUGGAAGGAAGGAUUGCCCAUUUACCUCAAGGAGGAUGCAUCAAAUCUUUUCAAGACAUGUCUGGACACAGAUGAAGAGGAGGAUUACACCAAAGGUGUAAAAAUUGCCAUACUGACAGUCUUUGAGGAUGAUGUAGCAUCCGUUACGUCCCUACCUACGGUCAUCAACAUUGGCGUGAUUUUGGAAGAGUGUCAUCGUUCAGGGCAUAAAGGACCUUCCUUCAGCAGUCGCAUACUUGUUUGGCCUGCUGUAUUGCAUCAACAUGGAAUACCCCAAAAACCUGAGAUACACUUUUGAGGUUUUACAGAAAGUUUUCCUUGACAUGGGAGCACACUGCUGCUCUGCACGAGCUCAAUCACUCCGAGGUAAAAUGCAGAAAUGUCUGCGCUAAUGUGGCAAGUCCAUUUUUCUCUCUCUCUCUCUCUCUCUCGGAGCUGCAAGUCAGGUGAGGGCAAGAGGUGGAAAAGUUUGUUGAACAGUUAAUUGAUUGUUUUAUAUGGAUUUUUACUUGUUAAUUGUUUAAGGGCUUAAGGUUUAUUUACUAAAGACUACAGGUCACACCACUGUGUAUACAGUAACUGCUUAUGUUUACAAGUCCUGUAUGUGCUAAAAUGUGUUUUGAGACUAUUUUGAUCAAUUCAAAAACCUGAGAUACACUUUUGAGGUUAUACAGAAAGUCUCUCUCUCUCUCUGUGAUGGGUGUUUUUAAACAUAUUCAGUGAAAUGUGUUGAAACUGUUUUGAUCAAAUUUAGUAAGAAGAGUCAUUUGGAAGAAUGUCCCAGUUGCCUUUCCACUUUACCUGGUUUGAAACCCCCAGUGCAUGUUUUUUGCAUACUGUUAGUAUGUGUUUAAAAUAAAGGAAAUGGUUGUGCACAUGAA